rnacentral:rRNA from 1 species
UACGGGGGGGGCAAGCGUUGUUCGGAAUUACUGGGCGUAAAGGGCUCGUAGGCGGCCAACUAAGUCGGAUGUGAAAUCCCCAGGCUUAACCUGGGAACUGCAUCCGAUACUGGAUGGCUUGAAUCCGGGAGAGGGAUGCAGAAUUCCAGGUGUAGCGGUGAAAUGCGUAGAUAUCUGGAAGAACACCGGUGGCGAAGGCGGCCUGCUGGGCAGUAGCUGACACUGAGGCGCGACAGCGUGGGGAGCAAACAGG